UUCCGGUUGAUCCUGCCAGAGGCGACCGCUUUUGGAGUUCGAUUAAGCCAUGCGAGUCGAGAGUCUUAGGGACUCGGCAUACUGCUCAGUAACACGUGGAUAACCUGCCCUAUCGUCUGGAAUAACCUCGGGAAACUGAGAAUAAGGCCGGAUAGUUCACAAAGCCUGGAACGGUUUGUGAAUCAAGGUAGGAUGGGUCUGCGGCGUAUCAGGUAGUAGGGGGUGUAAAGGACCCCCUAGCCUUCGACGCGUACGGGUGUUGGGAGACAUAGCCCGGAGAUGGAUUCUGAGACACGAAUCCAGACCCUACGGGGUGCAGCAGGCGCGAAAACUUCACACUGCAGGAAACUGUGAUGAGGGAACUCCAAGUGUGUGCACUAUGUGUACACUUUUAUGAACUUUUAAUCGGUUCAGGAAUAAGGGCUGGGAAAGACCGGUGCCAGCCGCCGCGGUAAUACCGGCAGCUCAAGUGGUCGUCGCUUUUAUUGGGCCUAAAACGUCCGUAGCCUGUUUGGUAAAUCUGUGGGUAAAUCAACUCGCUCAACGAGUUGAAUUCUGCAGAGACUGCCAGACUAGGGACCGGGAGAGGUGUGGGGUACUCGAGGGGUAGGGGUAAAAUCCUGUCAUCCUUCGAGGACCACCAGUUGCGAAGGCGCCACACUGGAACGGAUCCGACGGUCAGGGACGAAGCCUAGGGGCACGAACCGGAUUAGAUACCCGGGUAGUCCUAGGUGUAAACGCUGUGAACUUGGUGUC
rnacentral:rRNA from 1 species